rnacentral:rRNA from 1 species
CAAACGACUCUCGGCAACGGAUAUCUCGGCUCACGCAUCGAUGAAGAACGUAGCAAAAUGCGAUACUUGGUGUGAAUUGCAGAAUCCCGUGAACCAUYGAGUUUUUGAACGCAAGUUGCGCCCGAAGCCUUUCGGCCGAGGGCACGUCUGCCUGGGCGUYACGC